rnacentral:rRNA from 1 species
GAUGAACGCUGGCGGCGUGCCUAAUACAUGCAAGUCGAGCGAACAGAUGAGGAGCUUGCUCCUCUGACGUUAGCGGCGGACGGGUGAGUAACACGUGGAUAACCUACCUAUAAGACUGGGAUAACUUCGGGAAACCGGAGCUAAUACCGGAUAAUAUAUUGAACCGCAUGGUUCAAUAGUGAAAGACGGUUUUGCUGUCACUUAUAGAUGGAUCCGCGCCGCAUUAGCUAGUUGGUAAGGUAACGGCUUACCAAGGCAACGAUGCGUAGCCGACCUGAGAGGGUGAUCGGCCACACUGGAACUGAGACACGGUCCAGACUCCUACGGGAGGCAGCAGUAGGGAAUCUUCCGCAAUGGGCGAAAGCCUGACGGAGCAACGCCGCGUGAGUGAUGAAGGUCUUCGGAUCGUAAAACUCUGUUAGUAGGGAAGAACAAAUGUGUAAGUAACUAUGCACGUCUUGACGGUACCUAAUCAGAAAGCCACGGCUAACUACGUG